AGAACGAACGCUGGCGGCAGGCCUAAUACAUGCAAGUCGAGCGCCCAGCAAUGGGAGCGGCGGACGGGUGCGUAACACGUGGGAACGUACCCUUUGGUUCGGGAUAACUCAGGGAAACUUGAGCUAAUACCGAUUAAGCCCGUAAGGGGAAAGAUUUAUCGCCAAAGGAUCGGCCCGCGUUCGAUUAGCUAGUUGGUGGGGUAAUGGCUCACCAAGGCAACGAUCGAUAGCUGGUUUGAGAGAACGACCAGCCACACUGGGACUGAGACACGGCCCAGACUCCUACGGGAGGCAGCAGUAGGGAAUCUUGGACAAUGGGGGAAACCCUGAUCCAGCCAUGCCGCGUGAGUGAUGAAGGCCUUCGGGUUGUAAAACUCUUUCGCGCACGACGAUAAUGACGGUAGUGCGAGAAGAAGCUCCGGCUAACUUCGUGCCAGCAGCCGC
rnacentral:rRNA from 1 species